rnacentral:lncRNA from 1 species
GUACCUGGGAGUUAGACGGUUACGGGCAGCUUCCUGGCUGUAUGUGUGGAAAAAAAUAGUAGUAACAGUUGAGAGGUGGGCCGAAAAAGCAGAGCUCAACCCCCGCAGGCACAAAUAGGUGAAUACAGUCGAAGACAGAAAGCUUGUGCCUAUCGAGGUCCCCUUGGGCCACACACACACACACACACACACCUUCUACAGGAGACAAAUCACGACAGUUGCCAAGCUCCCGGGUACCAAUACACUGCUAAGUGCACAGAAGCAUCAGGUCAAAGGAUACGUGCCCAUCAGUCUCUGUCCACCUUGGGCUGGACGGUAGAGCGACGGUCUCGCUUUUUGCAGGUCGGCGUUUAAUCCCCGACCAUCGGCACUAUUCCUUCCCCCCCCCCCCCGUCUCAUCUCUAAUCCUUAUCCUGAUCCCUUUCAAAUACUAUAUAGUCGCAAUGGCUUGGCGCUUUCCCUCGAUAUUUCCCUCCCUUCCCUCGCCCGGGAAUCGAAUUCAAGACCCUCGAAUAUCGGCCGAGGACCUACACCAGAGAGCUACAGGGCUGCUAGGAACAUAGCUUAGCACUGCUAAGAAUAUAACCUUGCACUGUUAAUAUAGCCUAGCACUGCUAAUAUUAAUAGAUAAAAAAAAACACAGCCUAGCCUCCUAUUUUGGUAGUACUUAUAGUAACGAUGAGGACCAUUAUAUAUAUACCGACGUACAACGAAAUUAGAAAGUAGAAAUCUGAACUAUCGAGUUGGACAAACCGGAAAGCUUUUUAUUUUACUUGUUGCUUUGUCAAACUAAACUAACCUCUCCUAACCUCCCUAGGCCUAAUACACGAUAUGAGGCCUAAUAUAGUACAUGUGUGAGCUAUACUAGACCUAGGAAUAUUUAAAAAAAAAAUUUGUACUUCAUUUAUUUUAAAGGAAUUUCUUAUUAGUCAGUAUAUUAUUAUCUAAAAGCUCAGUACGUACUAAUUCGUGAAUAUUGACGACCGUCACAAUAGGUAUUGUCUAAACAGGAGGAUGAGUUUAUGCCACAUUCACACAUAUAAUGAAAUAAUCAAUGAUGCAGGCAGAGUUUGUCUCCUGUGGAUUCCUUCCCAUAUUGGUCUCUGAAUGCAUGAUAGAACGGAUGAGUUAGCCAAGACUUUUGCUCGUAAAGAGGGAAGUGAUUACCAACUUGGACUGCCACGUUCACCGACGAACAAUUUUUUACAUUUUCUCUUUAUUCAGAUAAAUAGAAAAUAAAGAUAGAGGGCGCCAAUGAGCUGUGAGGUCAGCUAGCGCCUCUCAAGCUAACCUCACACAAACAAAUCAAACCUUACCAAGCAUAACCUGUCCUAGACUAUGCUAACCUAACCUCAUAAAUGCUAACACCACUUACCUAAAUAUACUUGGUAUUUAGGUACCUCAACUAAAAUAAACUAAUCGUUUCUCAUUUUUCCUUACCCAGCCUAACCUUCCCACAUAUACUUAUUUGUGCUUGCGGGGGUUGAGCUUUGUCUCUUUGGUCCCGUCUUUCAACUGUCAAUCAACUGGUGUACAGAUUCUUGAGCCUACUGGGCUCUUAUCAUAUCUACACUUGAAACUGUGUAUGGAGUCAGCCUCCACCACAUCACUGCCUAGUGCAUUCCAUUUGCACAUGUGUGUCCCAGUAUGUGGUGCUAACUUUACAUGAAAGGCAUAGAAUGCCGGCAAGGCGGAUGUUGUAAGUUGAGGCCAUGGAUGACACGAGAACGAGAGAACAAUGGCUGCUUGACUGUCAUCAAUGAUUGUGUGACCGGCCUCGCAUAUGUACGUUUAGAGCACCUUCUGUAGUCAAAUAAUCUGAUAACAAUGGAAAAAUCAUGACAUCCGUACGGAAAUUCUUGUCUGUGACCACUUUGAAGUAAUAGUCUAUCAUUCCAUAAUAGUAUGUACUAGACAUAAAUGGCUCUGAAGACAGAGUCAGAAUCCACCAGUCAUUGAAAGUUGCACAAGAUUGAACUGUAGUAAAAUAAGAUAAACCCUAGGAAUGAAAAACUAUCCUUUGACUUCAGAGGAAAAGAAGGUAGUUAUUCAGCUGUACAAAUCUCUGGUUGUUGUUGUUAUAGAUUCAGAUCUAUAUAGAUCUCUGGUACACCCGCCACCUGAAGCACUGUUUCCACGCACGGAGACAUCUUCUGAAGGACUUGUAUCACCUUUGGAGAAAGUUCAACACCGGGCGACUAAACUCAUCGCAGGAAUAAGUCGACUCUCGUACCAGGAACGGUUGAGAGCCAAAGGAUUAACACUACCACAAACCAGACAUGACAGAGCUGAUCUCAUGGAGACUGUCAAGAUGCUAAACAAUUUGAAACAUACUGAUACAGACCACAAGGAGCUACGACUUAAAGCUCAAGUCAAAAUGAAGAACAAAAAACAGGUGAUACUUUUUCACCCAUAGGGUUAUACUAAAAAAAUUGGAACCGCCUACCCGCCGAAGCCGUAAAUGCCAAAGCAUUGCUGCAGUUCAAAAUCCUAUUGGAUAAAGGAAAAAAGGUUACCAUCAGGAAAAAUGGUCGGAUCUUUUGACAAACUGCCGGCUUCCUGCCCCGUCGAGGCUAUUAGAAAAAUGGUGGCCAUCAGCUAAAUUCAGGUAAAUAUCUACCCUCAUAGUACAGUUGGCUUCGCUCUCAACUUAUAAUCAAGGAACCUGGGUUCAAUUCCUUGUCAGGAUAGAAACGAUUGGGCACAUUUCCUUUGACCAAAUCCCUAUGUUCACCUAUCUAACUUGUACACCGUUUUUUUAUUAAUUUGGCAACUCAAGAGGAUGGACUGAAAUUGGACCAUUGUCGUAGAGUGCAUCCAGGAGAAGUUCAGUAGGGCCAGAGUGGCGAACCUAUGGCAUGCGUGCCCAGAAUGGCACGCGAGCAAAUUUUGCCACCAUGCAAUGCUGCCUUUUGAUUCUUUAAACCCCACCCAAAAUAAAUAUAUAAGUGUAAUCGACAGGCUGACCUUUCAUAAACAGCUGUUAUGACAAUUGAUGGUGCACCCAGCAUGACUGGCAAAGCAGCUUUGGUAAAUGUAUUUGCAAAACAUAUUGGACAUCAAUUAGUAGGCUAUCAUUGUUAUUUACACGAGGAAGCCUUUUGUGCAAAAGCUGGCCUUAAGGAACUGAAGUAAUGAAAAUUGUAUUUUUUAUUUAAAGCACGCACAUACUGAGCGAGGUGAAUUCUGUGUACACAGGAUGACAAUGUUCGUUGGCUUAGUACAGGUUCCCUCCUUAAAUGAUUUGUUGUAUUGGAUGAAAUUAUUACCACUGUGCGUAUUAGAGGCUUUAGUCACAGUAUAUACUUGCUCUGUCUAGAAAUCCAAUAUUGUAACUCAUUUUGUAUGUAUGUACUUUUAUCUGAAUAAACAUUAUCAUUAUCAAAUUCGUCUGUUUUUUUACGAAUGAAUUUUUUUUAGUCAAGUAUUAUGUGACGUGUGGAAUUGUUGAUUGAUGUGGUUUACAGAUUUCUCCUCAUAUUUAAAUGACUUGAAUAUCAAAAAAUAUUAAAACAAGCUGAAAAUCGUUAACUGAGAUUGCCUGGGGGCCACUAACAAUAGUGAAUGUUGUAACUAGCUCAUCAAGAUUGUAACUUAUUUAGCUAAAUGAAUUGUGGGGUUCAAGUCCCUGAGCCCAUUAUGUGCCUCUGUAACCCUUUCCACUACCGCACACAGGAUGGGUAUGGGGUGCAUAAUAAAUGAACUAAACUAAACUUCGAGGAGGACAGGAAGCCGAUGGAUGGAUAUAAAGAUAAAUGCCCGUUCUGAGCAAAUCCAUUUGUUAGUAUUCAAAUUGUACGACGAUUGAGAGGUAACCAAUCACAGUCAAGUAAGCCUCUGACGUCAACAGAGAGCUGGAACUAACUGUUCCAGUGAGGAGUCAGUACCUCACAGACCUUCACAGUAGGGAGGACCUCGGCUGGCCAGUUAUAUACUUUCUUUCCUUACUCAAUAAACUGCAGGAGUGACCAUCUGCGUUUUCUCUACAAGCCAACAACAACCAUACAUCAAAGAAGAGAGAGGACUCAGCCUGGUAGAGAGAGGACUCAGCCUGGGAGAUAGAGGACUCAGCCUGGGAGAGAGGGGACUCAGCCUGGGAGAGAGAGGACUCAGCCUAGGAGAGAGAAGACUCAGCAUGAGCGAGAGAGAGAGAGGACUCAGCCUGUGAGAGCAUAUAUCAUCUAACACACGAAAACAGUUCCAUGGCUACCUGCGACGGAACUGUCACCUCCACUUUUUAAAAGUCUACAGAUUGGCAGCAACAUUAAUGUUGAUUAUGGGAACAUCCCCCCGCCCUCCCGCUCCUGCGAUGAGAUCAUACAACUUUGAGAAGGAGAGUUUAGGGAAAGACAUUCCUCGCUGGUAAAGUUGAUCACGAGUGUUGUAAUGUCUUACUCCACUGGCGCCAACCUGAAGCUGUUACCAAGGACAAACAGUUCAGCGUGGCCCAAGGUCUUCCUGGUGGGAACACACACAUCACUCACGCGCCCAAAUGUCUCCACCAACGAAACAGCAAUUUGCACACAGCUCGUCAGCUUGGAGUGUAAACACUGCAACAACCUCGUAAAAAUGCAAACACUUCUCUGCCUAAUAAACCGCACUUGUAGAGACACCUUAAUAGUUAUGACACGCAAGUCUUGAUGUAAAGGUUACCCCUAAAUACCCGAUAGUUGCUGAAAUGGUUCACUUUUAACCGGUAGUUGCUGAAAUGGUUCACUUUUAACCGGUAGUUGAUGAAAUGGUUCACUUUUAACCGGUAGUUGCUGA